rnacentral:rRNA from 1 species
GACGAACGCUGGCGGCGUGCCUAAUACAUGCAAGUCGAGCGGAUCUUCAUUAGCUUGCUUUUGAAGAUCAGCGGCGGACGGGUGAGUAACACGUGGGCAACCUGCCUGUAAGACUGGGAUAACUUCGGGAAACCAGAGCUAAUACCGGAUAAUCCUUUUCCUCUCAUGAGGAAAAGCUGAAAGACGGUUUCGGCUGUCACUUACAGAUGGGCCCGCGGCGCAUUAGCUAGUUGGUGAGGUAACGGCUCACCAAGGCGACGAUGCGUAGCCGACCUGAAAGGGUGAUCGGCCACACUGGGACUGAGACACGGCCCAGACGCCUACGGGGGGCAGCAGUAGGGAAUCUUCCGCAAUGGACGAAAGUCUGACGGAGCAACACCGCGUGAGCGAUGAAGGCCUUCGGGUCGUAAAGCUCUGUUGUCAGGGAAGAACAAGUACCGGAGUAACUGCCGGGACCUUGACGGUACCUGACCAGAAAGCCACAGCUAACUACGUGCCAGCCGCCGCAGUAACAC